GAUCAUCAGCAAGUUUUGUGAGAUAAACAUACACGGAGAAUAUGGCAACCAAUAGUCGUAAGAGUGUGAUUAUGGUAGUAGUCAUACUAGUUCUAGUGAUACAGCAGGCCCAGGUAGAAGCCAAGAGCUGUUGUUGUUCCACCUCGGGAAGAAACUGCUAUAACGCAUGCCGUGUCAUGGGUGCCUCUCGCAAAACAUGUGCAAGCUUGUGUGGUUGCAAAAUUCUUGACAAGUGUGUGCGUCCUUGUGAUCGCUUCAAUCUUUACCCGGAAGCAGACGAAGCAAAAGUCAUUGAGUAUUGCAAGUUGGGAUGCAUGUCCUCCGUCUGCAACACCACAAACACUUUCAUCAUAGGUGAACAAGAGAAAGAUGUCAUAGAGAAUUGCACAACUGGAUGCGAUCGUGUCUGUACCAAGGAUGUUGAAUUUGCCGCAGCUAUUGCAUAAGAAAGUCUAUACGCCGGGAUUUCAUGCCGAGAUAGUCGAAAUGUUCUUGUUGUCUUGAAUAAUUGGA